GGCUUAAUACAUGCAAGUCGAACGGUAACAGGAGAGCUUGCUCUCGCUGACGAGUGGCGCACGGGUGCGUAACGCGUAUGCAACUUGCCCUUAACUGAGGGAUAGCCCAGAGAAAUUUGGAUUAAUACCUCAAAAUAUAUUUAGGACACAUGUUUUGAAUAUUAAAGCUUUGGCGGUUAAGGAUGGGCAUGCGUCCUAUUAGUUAGUUGGUGAGGUAACGGCUCACCAAGACAGCGAUAGGUAGGGGGCCUGAGAGGGUGAUCCCCCACACUGGUACUGAGACACGGACCAGACUCCUACGGGAGGCAGCAGUAAGGAAUAUUGGGCAAUGGACGCAAGUCUGACCCAGCCAUGCCGCGUGCAGGAUGACU
rnacentral:rRNA from 1 species